rnacentral:rRNA from 1 species
AGAGUUUGAUCAUGGCUCAGAUUGAACGCUGGCGGCAGGCCUAACACAUGCAAGUCGAGCGGUAGCACAGAGAGCUUGCUCUCGGGUGACGAGCGGCGGACGGGUGAGUAAUGUCUGGGAAACUGCCUGAUGGAGGGGGAUAACUACUGGAAACGGUAGCUAAUACCGCAUAAUGUCGCAAGACCAAAGUGGGGGACCUUCGGGCCUCAUGCCAUCAGAUGUGCCCAGAUGGGAUUAGCUAGUAGGUGGGGUAAUGGCUCACCUAGGCGACGAUCCCUAGCUGGUCUGAGAGGAUGACCAGCCACACUGGAACUGAGACACGGUCCAGACUCCUACGGGAGGCAGCAGUGGGGAAUAUUGCACAAUGGGCGCAAGCCUGAUGCAGCCAUGCCGCGUGUGUGAAGAAGGCCUUCGGGUUGUAAAGCACUUUCAGCGGGGAGGAAGGCGAUAAGGUUAAUAACCUUGUCGAUUGACGUUACCCGCAGAAGAAGCACCGGCUAACUCCGUGCCAGCAGCCGCGGUAAUACGGAGGGUGCAAGCGUUAAUCGGAAUUACUGGGCGUAAAGCGCACGCAGGCGGUCUGUCAAGUCGGAUGUGAAAUCCCCGGGCUCAACCUGGGAACUGCAUUCGAAACUGGCAGGCUAGAGUCUUGUAGAGGGGGGUAGAAUUCCAGGUGUAGCGGUGAAAUGCGUAGAGAUCUGGAGGAAUACCGGUGGCGAAGGCGGCCCCCUGGACAAAGACUGACGCUCAGGUGCGAAAGCGUGGGGAGCAAACAGGAUUAGAUACCCUGGUAGUCCACGCCGUAAACGAUGUCGAUUUGGAGGUUGUGCCCUUGAGGCGUGGCUUCCGGAGCUAACGCGUUAAAUCGACCGCCUGGGGAGUACGGCCGCAAGGUUAAAACUCAAAUGAAUUGACGGGGGCCCGCACAAGCGGUGGAGCAUGUGGUUUAAUUCGAUGCAACGCGAAGAACCUUACCUGGUCUUGACAUCCACAGAACUUAGCAGAGAUGCUUUGGUGCCUUCGGGAACUGUGAGACAGGUGCUGCAUGGCUGUCGUCAGCUCGUGUUGUGAAAUGUUGGGUUAAGUCCCGCAACGAGCGCAACCCUUAUCCUUUGUUGCCAGCGGUCAGGCCGGGAACUCAAAGGAGACUGCCAGUGAUAAACUGGAGGAAGGUGGGGAUGACGUCAAGUCAUCAUGGCCCUUACGACCAGGGCUACACACGUGCUACAAUGGCAUAUACAAAGAGAAGCGACCUCGCGAGAGCAAGCGGACCUCAUAAAGUAUGUCGUAGUCCGGAUUGGAGUCUGCAACUCGACUCCAUGAAGUCGGAAUCGCUAGUAAUCGUAGAUCAGAAUGCUACGGUGAAUACGUUCCCGGGCCUUGUACACACCGCCCGUCACACCAUGGGAGUGGGUUGCAAAAGAAGUAGGUAGCUUAACCUUCGGGAGGGCGCUUACCACUUUGUGAUUCAUGACUGGGGUGAAGUCGUAACAAGGUAACCGUAGGGGAACCUGCGGUUGGAUCACCU